ACCAGGCGCGGUGGCGCAUGCCUGUAGUCCCAGCUACUUUGGAGGCUGAGGUGGGAGGAUCAUUUGAGCCCAGAAGUUCUGGGCUGUAGUGUGCUAUGCCGUUUGGGUGUCUACACUAAGUUUGGCAUUAAUAUGGUGACCUCCUGGGAGUGGGGGAUACCAGGUUACCUAAGAAGGGGUGAACCGGCCCAGGUAGGAAACGGAGCAGGUCACAACUCCUGUGCUGAUCAGUAGUGGGAUCACACCUGUGAAUAGCCACUGCACUCCAGCCUGGGCAACACAGCGAGACUUCUCUA
ensembl:misc_RNA Metazoa_SRP Metazoan signal recognition particle RNA